UACGUAGGGGGCGAGCGUUAUCCGGAUUUACUGGGCGUAAAGCGCGUUAAGGCGGUUGGCAAAGUUGGUUGUGAAAUCUCAGGGCUCAACCCUGAAAUUGCGACCAAUACUGGUCGACUAGAGUGUGAGAGAGGAAGGUGGAAUUCCCGGUGUAGUAGUGAAAUGCGUAGAUAUCGGGAGGAACACCAGUGGCGAAGGCGGCCUUCUGGCUCAUAACUGACGCUGUAGCGCGAAAGCGUGGGGAGCGAACCGG
rnacentral:rRNA from 1 species